UUGCAUCUCUAUAAAAUGUUAAGAAGGGAAGGUUCAAAGACUCUGUAUCUAUUAAUGAGGUUUUAAAAAAGCCUCUGAACAGUUGCCAAUUUUGAGACCGAGUUGUGCGCACCAUCCUUUUCCCACUGUUCAACAAACAAGCAAAAAUUUCUACAAUACUUUCGGAACUAUGUCUCAAGCCAAAUUCCUGUUUCAAAUCUUCCUCGUAACGCUGCUUCUCGUGAGUUACACGUUUUGCAAGGAGGGAUUCUGGAGGAAAAGGCGGAGUCCCGCCAACAAGAUGGCGACCCUCGACCGUCUGAAAAGGUUUGCUAGUGGAGACCGGUUGAAGGAGUACGAGGAGCAGGUUGAACCGUCCUACGGAUAUAAUCCGGGAAAUCGAGUGUUUCACAAUUUCUACUACAGAAGACCUGAUGUAUCACAAAAGUCAUAGACGAGAGUUUGUGUGGGGGCUGGUAAACUUAGAAUCGUGUCGUCCAUGUGAGGACCUGUUUUAAAAUGAAUUAUAAUAAAGUUCUAAUGAAGAA